UGGCUGUUACUUGUGUCUCUUUCCUGGUGGCUGCAGGUUCAAAUUUAACAGACCCUGCAUAAAAACUGAAAAGAGUCUGCAACCAGGUUCAUUAACUAGCUGAAUACCCUUAAAGGCGUAUGCGUUUAUGCUUGGUUUUACCAUCCUACAACCAUUCUGGGUGAAUUAUCCAUCUCUAUUAAAAGUUGGUCCUAUAUAUGUGGGCUAUGGAUGUUUUAUAUCCAUGAAGGCCUUUGUUCCUUCCUUUUUUUGUGAUACCAUACAGAAACCCCUGAUGAAGUCGUUCUGACGAAACGCGUUGGUUCGAAUCCGUUACGGUCUCUUAUCUAGUUCAUUAAUACACCCUACAGAAUAUACACCUAUAAGGGUGAGGGUGUUCUUUAAAGGCUUGAACAGAAAACCUAUUGACUGUAUCUGGAUGUUUUUCUUUUAAGAAUGUUUAUAUGAAUGUAUGGAACCUUUUAUCUGUAAAAAAAAAUGUUCAUAUGAAUUUAUGGAAUUCUAUAUGUUUUUUAAUAAAAAC